GUCUGCCUCUCUGUUCUGGGAACGGGAGAUAUGCAGAAAGUUGAUACGAUCAAAGUUUGCUGAGAGAUGCUUGAUAUCCUGAAGAACACCAUAGAUCUCCUUGAUCUGACUUUGGGUUGAGAUUGCUCUGAUGAGCGUUGCGCAAUCGGAGUGAAACGAAACUGACCUCCUCCCUAGACUUAGGGCUUCUUUGAUUCCUUGUCUGAGCGCCAGCGAUUCCGCCAUGAGGGGGGAAGCCACGUUGUCUAUGAUCUAGGAUCCUAAAGGAGAGUUGAUCGCUCGAUCGUUGGUGAAAUGCCAAGCGAUACCUGCUCGAUUGGAGGAGGCAUCCCACGCUGCGUCUACGAAGCAAGAGGGGUAUGAUUGGAUUCCUGGUACUUGUCGUCGGCUUGAAGCUUGGGGGAAUACUUGGUUUCUUUUUGAUUGAUCGGUGCUCUGAGCUAGAUCCCAUUCAAGUGCAGCUGCAAGCCCUUUUGUCGCUAUUUCGAGGGGUUGAGCCGUUUUAUCAUCGAAAAUCAGCUUGUUUCUUGCCGUCCAUAGUGACCAGCAGAUCCACGGGAGCACUGGUGACCUGAUGCCUGUAGUAGGGAGACAGAGGGCGCUUCGGAAUUGGACCAUAUAGGAUUCAAAAGUCUCUGCACCAGCUAGGUGAACUGAUGAGUUGAGAGGAAUGUGGCGCCAUACUUCUUUAGCAAAGGGGCAAUGGAAGAAUAUAUGGGUAGCUGAUUCCUCUUUUUUACAGCAGGGGCAAGAAGCAGCAUUGAUCAUACCUCGACGUUGGAGUUCUGUUCCUAGAGCCAGUCGAAAUCCAGGUUGGGAGGAGGAUUUGAGGUCCUCUGUUGCAGGUAAACCAGUUCAUGUUUUUGAACCGCACAUUGGUGUUAUUGAUGCGGUGCCGGUCGAAACACCUUUUUUUUUCACAGUUCGACUGGGUUUGUGGUUGUCGCUGGGCUUUAUCUCUAAGCAGAGAGCUGGCUAUGGCUCUAUCUAUGGUUGGCGUCGUCAUCACAAGAACAUUUUUCCA